CGUAUUGAUCCUUGUGUUUGUAUACUUGUAGAGACCGUCCUGGAGUGUUUGUGCUACCUGAUUCUUGGAAUUGCGCACCAAUCUCUCUCUCUGGCUGACUUUGCACUACUUAUUUGCAAUUACACCUGUUUGGUCAAAAUACAUGAAGGCCAAAGAAACCGUGAUGCUUACUUAUGAGGACAUAACCUUUGUACACAAGACCCUGGAAAGUCCUGAAGGUGCAGUGCUGUCUAAUGCCCCUGGUUCUGUAUUAACCCUUUCAACAAUUGGAGUGUUGCACAGAGCAUUGUGGUGAACAUGCAGCUAACAAAAGAAG